AUUGAACGCUGGCGGCAUGCUUUACACAUGCAAGUUGAACGGUAACAGGCCGCAAGGUGCUGACGAGUGGCGAACGGGUGAGUAAUGCAUCGGAACGUGCCCAGUCGUGGGGGAUAACGCAGCGAAAGCUGUGCUAAUACCGCAUACGAUCUAUGGAUGAAAGCGGGGGACCGUAAGGCCUCGCGCGAUUGGAGCGGCCGAUGUCAGAUUAGGUAGUUGGUGGGGCAAAGGCCUACCAAGCCAACGAUCUGUAGCUGGUCUGAGAGGACGACCAGCCACACUGGGACUGAGACACGGCCCAGACUCCUACGGGAGGCAGCAGUGGGGAAUUUUGGACAAUGGGCGCAAGCCUGAUCCAGCAAUGCCGCGUGCAGGAAGAAGGCCUUCGGGUUGUAAACUGCUUUUGUACGGAACGAAACGGUCUGGGUUAAUACCCUGGGCUAAUGACGGUACCGUAAGAAUAAGCACCGGCUAACUACGUGCCAGCCGCCGCCGUAACAC
rnacentral:rRNA from 1 species